AGUUGUGAUACAUGAAAUGUCAUUUGGGUCAAUAUAAAGCAAUAAGUACAAGGUUACUGUACUGACAGCAUGCUAAAAUAAGUUCACAAUCAGGAAAAUAGUUUAAAAGUCUGAAUGUAGAAAGAGAAUGUAUAACCUGUGGUAAUGAAGACCAGUUUAUUUAUAUUUACUUGUUUUAAAGUAUUUUUCUUUUCAAGAUAUGUACACAGGAGAAAAAAUUUUGUGACAGUUUUAGAGUCUUCACCAUUGCUCCUGAUCCAUUUUGUUGCUUCUGUGUACCUUUAACAGCUUCUGACACCUACAGGUAACCUAAACAUCAUGGAUUUGAGAGGUUACUUUUUAUUUUAUUUCUAAGAUACAGUUUGGGCGUUGCAGUAAUAUGCAAGUGAAACUACAUUGUUAUUCAAAUGGAUUGUGAGAGAGAUAGAUUUUUAUUCCAUGGAAUCAUUAAAAUGUACGUAAUAGAUAAAAAGAGCCUAAUAUCAAAAAAGGAAAAGGCAGACAAACCCAUAAUGGACAUGAAAAAUAAACUUGAUUUCUAAAAUGGGAAAGAAAAUCAAGUUAAUUACUAUUAGCUGAUGCUGUGGGAAAGAAGGACAUAGCACCACAAUGACCUGCAUUUACAAGCUUUCAUUCAUGUAAAAUUUUAAGUGGAUAACACCCAGAACAUCAAUAUUUUGGCCUUACAGUAAAAAUAGAUUCUUCAGAAAAAAGACUGUUAACUUGGAACAGUAUCUUAUUUUGUUGAAUGCACUGGUCAGAAAAUUGUCGCUCUAAUACUAGCCCAAUUGUCAACAACAAAGAGCAGAGAAAAUCUCAGAGCAUGUCUUUUUUUUUCUUCCUUUUUUUUUCUUUUUUUAGAUGCAAGGUGGAGGUGAGGUGAAGGACUGCCGGUUUAUUUUUAUAUUGCCUUCUUGACUACCCUUCUGAUGCUCAGGAACAACCUGUCUUCUGUGUAUUAGCUGUGAAAGCUCAGAAGAACUUCCUAGACAGGAACAUGUGAGGACGCAGUCUUUUGUGAGCCAGUCAAGUGGAGACAGUUAUGGGAAAAUGCAGGAGAUCAGGAUGCAGUUGCACAAAUGCUGUAAGUUGGACGUCACUGAAAGAAGAGUGUGGUUUCUGUUUGGUUAACGGCAUGUGAAUGAACAAAGACUUCAGCCACUGGAGAUGAGAUGGCAAAAUAGAAACAAGGAUGCACAGCAAUUGGUAGAGAAAGAGUGAACCAAUGUGUCAGUGGCAUGGGUGUACAGAGGUUGAGAAGAUGCAAACAGAUGCCUUGGUUGAGCCCAUCUAUCAGAUUCUAUACUCAGUUGAAAAUUAUGUCUAAGUGGGAGUCAAAUGCUGACACCAGAAAGCAGACAAUUGCAUCUUGGUGGUAUUCUACAUUUAUGAGUCUCUCUUGUGCCUGGCCAAGGAAAAGGAAAGAACUUGUAAGAGAUUCUGCCUGCAAAGCUCCACAUGGAAUGGAGCUGAUACGAAUCAAGCUUGCUUUUUUAGUACAUCUAUCUGCAAAUAGCUACAGUGUAGUACAAACAGACAUAAUAAUCCAGAUUAUAUUGGAAGAUUGAUUAAUGGGAACAUUACUCAUAUACUCAGUGCAUGACAUUUCCUAUUAGUUGUUCAUAUCAUUUGAGAGUUAAAGGAUAUAAAUACUUAGGAACUUCCCAGCAGUUGGGUUGCCACCUGUCUGCUGAACACAUUAAAGGCGGAAAAGUGUGAGUUGUAUUCCAUUUAAGAAUGCUGUAGCUAUCUGUGGGACUCUGAAUAACGUUUCUGACACUGUCAGGGGAAAAUUUUCCAUAGCAGUCUCAACUCAGAUUCAGCAAUAGGGUUUUUUCUCCCUGACAUAGCUAGAAAUUUAAAGGAUGUUAACAAAGGCAGAGGUAGUGGGGCUGAUGCUUCUUGCAAUAGGACAAGUAAUUAGAGAGCUAAGGACUAUAUAUAUGCAACCAAAGUGAACACUUAGCAAACAGCUGUCAAUCUUUGUAUAGAUUCAUUGCUUCCUCGGUUAGUAUUUAUACCUGACAUUGUAGCAGUUGUUUAAUAAAAAACUCAUUUGCGUGAAGAACUGGAGAUGGUAAAAACCAAAAAAUAUCUACAACAAACACACAUGAAAAUCCCCCACCUGCAUUUCUUUUUGUAAAACGCCUGUCAAACACAUGGCAAAGCUAUUCUGUAGCAUGACAUCACUUGGUUCUAUGAAAUGACUACUGAUGGGUCUGUUCACAACAUCUAUAAUUAUCUACUUACCUCUAAGUUUCAGUAAUUUUGAGCAGCAGACUGAUGUAAAUGUUUCAAAUCAGCUUCUGGAGAUGCCUUUGAAACCAAACAGACUAACACCUAACAUGGGCAUCAACAUAUGUAUGUCAGGCUUUCUUCUGUAGCUUAACCUGGGCCCUAAAGUUACGGAAAAUACUUGGAGAAAACUCCUGAAUGUCCUAUUUGUAAACACAUAGCUGUGGAUCUCAAGGUAUUGUGGAGAGGAUGAAAGCUCCUCUUGCUAUAGGUUUACUACCCUUAAAUUACUUCAUAGCAUCAUUUAGCACUUUUGUAGAGAUAUGCCUCAGUAGAUAGAAACCACUAGUCUCUCUCAUGGAGACCUGUAGAGGGGGAGCCAUUCAGGAAUUAGUAAACUUUAAUGUACUGCUCCUGGGUCUGACAGCAAACCUGCCAGGGACCAUGUAGGAAAGGAGCACAGUGCCACAGACAGCUUCUGCUGUGUGCAGAACUACCCUGUACAGUCUGACCAUGAGUGGUUUGUAACACAAGACAGCAGGGAUGUACAGGAGGCAAGAUAUUUUGUACAGUUGUCUGAAACUCUAGUGUUAGUCCCUACUUUUGGAAGGACAGUAUAGUCCUCGGUCCCAAAUUCUAAAGGGAAAUCCUGAGAUAGAAGUUAAAAAAGACCACUUGCUUAGAAAAAACAGGUAACUCGAUUUCUGUGCUGGUGUUUCACAAAGCCCAUUUGCUUCUUCUCUUGGAUCAGCCUUGUCUGAAAUUUGUUUAAAAGUAUUGUAAAAUUUAAAAGAAAAAAUAAACGUUUAAUGUGUAGUUUUUUAAUUACGGUCCUUUUACACACGGGGGAAUACACACACAGCCCAUCCCUGCCCUCAU